GCGUUCGGACUAUUUCCUUCACGUACCGGAGCGAGUUUAUGUUGAAUAUAGAACGUUGCGUCAUUUCCGGCGUAGUUGAAGUUCGUGAAAGCAACUUGGUGUCUGCCUUCGUCUGUUUUCCUUUCAUUCUGGUUGCUGUCUACAUAGCUGAUUAACCGUGAAAGUCCUGCGCAGAGAAAUGCAAUUACAAGGCAACUUGUAUGAUCCUUCCGGAAUACAGAACAUGCGGUUGGUUCACAUGCAACUGGCGUUCUUUGUGGUGCGCUGUUUCGAAUACAAAUCUGUAAGCUUAUGUAACGUGACACAUUCGGUCAGAUUAAAAUGUCCGACCAUUGUGAUCUGAUACCUGAUUUUUCGAAAGAUAAAUCCGUGACGUAGUUGAGACGAAUAAGGUGGAUUUCAUUGCCUGACACCAAGACUUCGUUAAUUUAUCGCCUCAAAGAAAAAAAAAACUAAUAGAUUUCUACACCAAUCAUGUUGUUUACAUUAUACAAUAAUUACCCUCAACAAAAUUGGGAAUUUUUCAAACAUCUGUAACGUCUAAGUAAGAUAUGAGGUUUUCGAGUCGGUGAGUCUGAAGAUGGUUGAUUGGCAAAUAAACUUAUACCAGACUACACGGCGCUAAGACCCAGAAGGCAGUCAUCUUCAUCUAUGACAUCUAUAUAUCAUUUUGGUACACUCCAGUAAAUAGCACGAGUGUAGCUUCCACCUCCCAUAAUAAUAAUGUUGGAAGAAAAUAAGAUAGUAGGUUAGGGUAGCCUCCAGUGACCUGACGUUCAUACUGAAUUUUUCUAAAAUUUAUCAAAUUUCCUAAAAGUUAGAGGA